GAGAGAGAGAGAGAGAGAGAGAGAGAGAGAGAGAGAGAGAGAGAAGAGCAUCUAAUUAAGUGUGAGGGAGGGACGGAGGUUUCUAAAGUCUAAAGUGCAUGUGGUGUUUAUGCAUGCAUGGGACCAUUGGCUUCAAAAAAUGUCAAGCUAAAGCACAACACAAGCCCUUCGACUGCGAUGAAUGAGAGAGGCCAUAGAGUGUCCCCUCUCAUGCGCAAUACACCACCACUUUUCUUAUCUCUUUCUGUAUAUUUAAACUUAAUUUUUUAAUUCAAUUUCUUCAAUUUUUUGUCACUUAAAUUUUCUAGAGGUGGAAUCUUACAAAUGCACACUAAUGACUAAUGUUUUGAGGUCCCUAUCAAAUAUGAAUAUCAUCAAUUGAGCUCUCUCUCUCUCUCUCUCUCUCUCUCUCUCUCUCUCUCUCUCUCUCUCU
rnacentral:miRNA from 1 species